rnacentral:rRNA from 1 species
CGUGGGUGAUCUGCCUUGCACUUCGGGAUAAGCCUGGGAAACUGGGUCUAAUACCGGAUAUGACCUUCCAAUGCAUGUUGGUGGGUGGAAAGAUUUAUCGGUGCGAGAUGGGCCCGCGGCCUAUCAGCUUGUUGGUGAGGUAACGGCUCACCAAGGCGACGACGGGUAGCCGACCUGAGAGGGUGACCGGCCACACUGGGACUGAGACACGGCCCAGACUCCUACGGGAGGCAGCAGUGGGGAAUAUUGCACAAUGGGCGAAAGCCUGAUGCAGCGACGCCGCGUGCGGGAUGACGGCCUUCGGGUUGUAAACCGCUUUUGACAGGGACGAAGCGCGAGUGACUGUACCUGUAGAAUAAGGACCGGCCAACUACGUGCCAGCAGCCGCGGUAAUACGUAGGGUCCGAGCGUUGUCCGGAAUUACUGGGCGUAAAGAGCUUGUAGGCGGUUCGUCGCGUCGUUUGUGAAAACUUGGGGCUCAACCUUAAGCUUGCAGGCGAUACGGGCGGACUAGAGUACUUCAGGGGAGACUGGAAUUCCUGGUGUAGCGGUGAAAUGCGCAGAUAUCAGGAGGAACACCGGUGGCGAAGGCGGGUCUCUGGGAAGUAACUGACGCUGAGAAGCGAAAGCAUGGGUAGCAAACAGGAUUAGAUACCCUGGUAGUCCAUGCCGUAAACGGUGGGUACUAGGUGUGGGGCUCCUUCCACGGACUCCGUGCCGUAGCUAACGCAUUAAGUACCCCGCCUGGGGAGUACGGCCGCAAGGCUAAAACUCAAAUGAAUUGACGGGGGCCCGCACAAGCGGCGGAGCAUGUGGAUUAAUUCGAUGCAACGCGAAGAACCUUACCUGGGUUUGACAUACACCAGAAAGCCGUAGAGAUACGGCCCCCCUUGUGGUUGGUGUACAGGUGGUGCAUGGCUGUCGUCAGCUCGUGUCGUGAGAUGUUGGGUUAAGUCCCGCAACGAGCGCAACCCUUAUCUUAUGUUGCCAGCGCGUAAUGGCGGGGACUCGUGAGAGACUGCCGGGGUCAACUCGGAGGAAGGUGGGGACGACGUCAAGUCAUCAUGCCCCUUAUGUCCAGGGCUUCACACAUGCUACAAUGGCCGGUACAGAGGGCUGCGAUACCGUGAGGUGGAGCGAAUCCCUUAAAGCCGGUCUCAGUUCGGAUCGGGGUCUGCAACUCGACCCCGUGAAGUUGGAGUCGCUAGUAAUCGCAGAUCAGCAACGCUGCGGUGAAUACGUUCCCGGGCCUUGUACACACCGCCCGUCACGUCAUGAAAGUCGGUAACACCCGAAGCCGGUGGCCUA